CUGCUUCACCUCUUGUGGCCACCAUGGUGGGUUCCUUUAGAAAGAUUUAUUUAAGGACGUCAAAGAAACUGAGCAGCAGCUGCCUCUGAGAACCUGGCGUAGGGAGGUCUCAUCUUCCUGGGGUUAUACCCGUUCAAACGCAGAGACAGAGAAGAAACAGGAAGAACUGAUCGUGCACAAUAGAUUCCCCCAAGUUAAAGGUGCGGGGAUCUAGAGAGGAGCGUUCAGUAAGCCCCGCACGGGCGUGCUCAGCUCUGUCCCGCAUCAGGGAGCCAGGCCAGGAACCGAAAUCGGGAUGUGGGCCGACGCUUAACCUGGACAGUUGUCCCCUUGGCGUAGAAGACACCAGCACACCCCCUCCACUUUGGACAGAUGCCGUGACCAGCCCGGAGCCCCAGCAGCUCCAUUCACAAGGUGCUUGGGAAAAUAAAUUUAGGUGUCUCCAUUCGUAACUCAGCAAUGUGAUUGAGCGUCUGUGGGAGAAGCCUUAUUCCUGCAACGGCUGUGUGUGUGUGAUGGGCCGGAGCCCGGGGGAGUCAGGAGCUCAGACUCAAGUGAAGCUCAGAGUGAACAGGAAGGGUCACAGCCGCACCGUCCCCCAACCCCCAGGCGGUCAGAAUCCAGAGCGUGGGCCCAGGGCUGCCCCUGCCCGUCGGUCCCCGGAGAAAACGCCCGGUGUGUGCGGAGCUUCACCACCAGGGGGAGUCCGAGGCCGUGUCCAACGUGGGUGUGCGGGAGGGCGGGGGGAGGGUGUGAGCCAGCGUGUCUGUGUGUCCAUGAGUGUGAGGGUGUGUGCAGGCGUGUCUUACUGUGUAUGUGUGGGUGUGAGGGUGUCUGUGAGCCUGUGUGCGUGUGCGGGUGUGUGCAGGCAUGUCUUACUGUGUAUGUGUGGGUGUGAGGGUGUCUGUGAACUUGUGUCAUACAUAUGUCCAUACGUGUGAGGGUGUGUGCAGGCCUGGCCUCCUGCACUAGUGUGGGUGUUUGUGUGUGCAGGUGAGAGGGUGUCUGCCUCUGCUGUCGUGGGUUGGGAUUCGUGUGUGCAGGUGAGUGGGUGUCUGCGUGUACUGCUAGUGUGGGUGUUCGUGUGUGUGUGUGAGCGGGUGUCUGCGUGUACUGCUAGUGUGGGUGUUCAUGUGUGCGGGUGAGCGUGUGUCUGCGUGUACUGUCGUGGGUUGGGAUUUGUGUGUGCGGGUGAGUGUGUGUCUACAUGUACUGCUAGUGUGGGUGUUCGUGUGUGCGAGUGAGAGAGUGUCUGCGUGUACUGCUAGUGUGGGUGUUUGUGUGUGCAGGUGUGUGUCUGCGUGUACUGCUAGUGUGGGUGUUCGUGUGUGCGGGUGAGCGUGUGUCUGUGUGUACUGCUAGUGUGGGUUGGGAUUUGUGUGUGCGGGUGAGCGUGUGUCUGCGUGUACUGUCGUGGGUUGGGAUUUGUGUGUGCGGGUGAGUGUGUGUCUGCGUGUACUGCUAGUGUGGGUGUUCGUGUGUGCGAGUGAGAGAGUGUCUGCGUGUACUGCUAGUGUGAGUGUGUGUGCAGGUGAGUGUGUGUCUGAGUGUACUGCUAGUGUGGGUGUUCAUGUGUGCGGGUGAGCGUGUGUCUGCGUGUACUGUCGUGAGUUGGGAGCCGUG
rnacentral:lncRNA from 1 species